CCUACGGGACGCAGCAGUGGGGAAUAUUGCACAAUGGGCGCAAGCCUGAUGCAGCCAUACCGCGUGUAUGAAGAAGGCCUUCGGGUUGUAAAGUACUUUCAGCAGGGAGGAAGGUGUUGAGGUUAAUAACCUCAGCAAUUGACGUUACCCGCAGAAGAAGCACCGGCUAACUCCGUGCCAGCAGCCGCGGUAAUACGGAGGGUGCAAGCGUUAAUCGGAAUUACUGGGCGUAAAGCGCACGCAGGCGGUCUGUCAAGUCGGAUGUGAAAUCCCCGGGCUCAACCUGGGAACUGCAUUCGAAACUGGCAGGCUGGAGUCUUGUAGAGGGGGGUAGAACUCCAGGUGUAGCGGUGAAAUGCGUAGAGAUCUGGAGGAAUACCGGUGGCGAAGGCGGCCCCCUGAACAAAGACUGACGCUCAGGUGCGAAAGCGUGGGGAGCAAACAGGAUUAGAUACCCCGGUAGUC
rnacentral:rRNA from 1 species